UCAAAACCAAUCCACUGGGCAGAGGCAGCGCACAAACCAAAUCUCCCCACCAGCGGCCGCGGCGGCGGCCCAGAUCUCUCCUCCAUGCUGAGCGAGUACGCCAGGUAGAGGCGGGCCAGAUCCCUCCUCCAUACUGUUCCAUCUCUCGAUGGCUCCCUGCCGUUUUGUGGGGGGCGUCCCAGUUUGAGGCGGACCAGAUCGGAGCUCGUCGGCAACCUCCUCCCCGUAAUGUGCUCUUCCCAGCCUCCCUUCUGAAGCUCCGGCAGCGGUGGGUUCGGCGGCAAGCCUGUGGUGGUCUCCUCGGUCCUUCCUGACCAGCCCGUGCGACGAGUAUUCUGGAGGAUCAAGUUGGAAGGUUGAGGGCGGUUACAUAAUCUCAACGGCUUGAAGUUUAGGACAAUUCACUAAAAAGGACAAGUCAAACAAAACUCUCAUCUCAGGAUUCAAUAAUGGAGGGGAGCGGCACUACAUCGACAUUAGGAUAGCCCAUAGUUACAAUGGCCACAAAAAGUUACGAACAUCAGUCAUUGAAUCGGUCAAUAGUGCUCAAAAUCAAGAUUUCAGCGAUGGUAGCUCGUUUGUACAGAUUAAUUCCCUGAUGCUUGUCAUUGAUGAUUCCGGUACACCGAAAGAAACAAUCGUUUUAUCAAGAGCACACGAAGCUUGAUGAGCAGAAAGGACUAGAACUGAAGGCAAAAGCCUAUAGCUUUUCUGUUCUGUAACAUCAUUCAUGCCAAGUUGAUGCAGUUUCUAGUGGCACUGCUUCUUGAGUUGUGAUUUAUUUUAGUCAUUCAUAGUCAGUCUUGCCCAUGAUGUACCGCUUCUACAUGUAACACUUGAUAUGUAUGUAUGUAUGUAUGUAUGUCUCUUCUGUUGUUUCAUGGCUGUGAUCGUGCAGUUUGAAAUCUAUGUUUGCUUGAAGCGGAUGAAUUAAUGCUCAUGUACUCAAAGAUAUUUUUUAUGAUGCUCAUAUACUUUUUA